UACAGAGGGGGCAAGCGUUGUUCGGAAUUACUGGGCGUAAAGGGCGCGUAGGCGGCCUGUUAAGUCGAACGUGAAAUCCCCGGGCUCAACCCGGGAACUGCGUCCGAUACUGGCAGGCUUGAAUUCGGGAGAGGGAUGUGGAAUUCCAGGUGUAGCGGUGAAAUGCGUAGAUAUCUGGAGGAACACCGGUGGCGAAGGCGGCUCUCUGGGACGGUACUGACGCUGAGACGCGAAAGCGUGGGGGAGCGAACAGG
rnacentral:rRNA from 1 species